AUUGAACGCUGGCGGCAGGCCUAACACAUGCAAGUCGAGCGGAUGAAGGGAGCUUGCUCCUGGAUUCAGCGGCGGACGGGUGAGUAAUGCCUAGGAAUCUGCCUGGUAGUGGGGGAUAACGUCCGGAAACGGGCGCUAAUACCGCAUACGUCCUGAGGGAGAAAGUGGGGGAUCUUCGGACCUCACGCUAUCAGAUGAGCCUAGGUCGGAUUAGCUAGUUGGUGGGGUAAAGGCCUACCAAGGCAACGAUCCGUAACUGGUCUGAGAGGAUGAUCAGUCACACUGGAACUGAGACACGGUCCAGACUCCUACGGGAGGCAGCAGUGGGGAAUAUUGGACAAAGGGCGAAAGCCUGAUCCAGCCAUGCCGCGUGUGUGAAGAAGGUCUUCGGAUUGUAAAGCACUUUAAGUUGGGAGGAAGGGCAGUAAGUUAAUACCUUGCUGUUUUGACGUUACCAACAGAAUAAGCACCGGCUAACUUCGUG
rnacentral:rRNA from 1 species